AUUUUUAUUUUGAUUUGAUUUGGAUAACAAUGUUAAGAAUCCGGUAAAAUUCCGAGUUCAAUUUGGUUAUGUAACUAUUCUCACUUUUUUGUAAUAAAUUAGCAUUAUUCAGAUAAAUUUAAAUAUUUCAAAUAAAAGAUAUUUGGGUGAUUCAGUUCCAUCAGGAAAUUUGAAUUUUUUAAAUUUGAAUUCAUUUUAGAGAAUUUGUGGUGGAUAACCACAAAAACAAAUUUAAUUAGGUAGAUUGACAUGAUACUGUUGAUUUUUCAUAAUGCCAGUAGUAAUCAUAUUCUAACUUGCCGAUAGGCACAUGCAUAGGCCUAACACCCUUGUCUUUAUUUUUCAGAAUUUUUCAUUCACACACCAAAAUUAAUUAUGAAAUUUUUUUGAAACUUAAGCUGACUCUAUAUCUAUCGAGUCAUCUCGCUCUCUCUCUCUCUCUUUCUCUUUAUAUCUCUUCUUUUCUCUCUUCUUCCUCACCUCUCUCUAAAUAAAGAUCUGUUUUUUUUUUCAUGACAAAGGCUCUGAUGAAAUCCUGUAAACUUUAAAUUUUUCACUAGUUACUGAAUUUUCUUCAUUUUUUGGUGACAUAUAUGACUUGAGUCAUCUCUAUAUACAUGUGAAGAAUACAAGUAUUUCAAUCGCCGCUGCUCCACCAUCCUGGUAAGCGUCCGCCUUCGCCUCCACCGCCAUCAUCAUUGUAAGCCUUUAUCUCCACCACCGUGCUCCUGGAAUCGUCUUCGUUUAUCUUCUCAUUUUAUAUCAACUGGAUGUUUGAUUUGCUUUGGUACUGCGUUUGGUGAGUAAGAAAUGCGUCUUCAUGUUUUUUGUUUUUUCCUUAUUUUUGUUUUGUUUUUUUGUUGAUCUGAUUUAUCGUAUUUUUUCUUCUUUGUUCGGUUUAUGUGAGACACGGAUUGGAAAGUAAAUUCCUUUGUUUUUGUUAGAUGUUAAGGCUAUUAUAAGUAUGAUCCGACAGAACUAUGCAAUAUCCGGUUAUAAGAUCCAUGUAUAAACUCUACUUCAUAUAUUCUAAUAACUCAAUUUGGCCAUCUACAAUAUUUUUCACAUUCAAUUUAGUAUAAUUAAUUUUGUCCACCACAAAUAACCAGUUUAGUUUUACAAAAUUCGGAUAGAAGAAAAAAUACUUCGAUAUUCAACUUAUAUAUUUUGAAUACUAAAAAACUGAAAAUUUACCAAGUCACACAAAUAAAUACAUAAAUCUACAUGAAGAUCACAAACUCCUCUUAUACACUAAAUCCUAAACACUAAAAUCUUGAUCUUUGGGUAAACCAUAUGGUUUUUCCAAAGCUUUAGGGUUUAGUGUUUUUAAGAUUUAGUGUUUAAAGUUUAUGAUUUAUGGUUUAAGAUUUACCCAAGAGUUUAGGGUUUGAGACUUAGGGUCUAGUGUUUUGCUAACGGCGUUAACAAUGUUAAAAAAAAUUAAUAAAAAGGGUAAAAAUAAAUAAAAAAUAGUACUAGUUGCCAAAAAAAAAAUUUUUGUUUAAAUAUUGUUAACGUCGUCAGCAAAACACUAAACAAAAUUUUUGUUUAAAUAUUGUUAACGUCGUCAGCAAAACACUAAACUCUAAAUCCUAAACACUAAAUAGUAAGCACUAAAAUCUAAAUCUUUGGGUAAACCAUAAACCCUAGGAUUUAGGAUUAUAUCAAAGGUCUAAUAUUUACGGUUUAGUGUUUUUAAGAUUAAGUGUUUAAUGUUUAUGAUUUAUGGUUUAGGAUUUACCCAAAGGUUUAUGGUUUACCCAAGGGUUUAGGUUUAGGGUUUAUUGUUUAGGAUUUAGGGUCUAGUUUUCACCAAUAUAUAAUUUCAAUUGAAGUCGUUUAGAUACAUGUAUGUACUCGUUUGCACCAAUAUAUAAUUUCAAUUGAAGCCCGUUAUUAAUUCAGUAAACCAUAUAAAUAGUUUUUAUUUAGUGUAUUCAUAUUAUAUCGAUAUAGUUCAUAGUUGUGUUAGACCAAGUGUUGACAAAGUUAUUUCACUCAUAUUUUUCUUCUAGAUAAUAUUACCUAAAAAUGGAUAGUAAAAACGAUACCCGGUUACAUUCUAUUUGGGUUUACCAAUAUGUACUAUGCUAUUUAUUUUGUUCUAUUCUAUUUGGGUUUAGGGUUUAUAUAUUUGAAUUUAUGGUUUAUAUUUGGGUUUAAAUUUAAUGAUUAGGGUUUUGGGUUUAUAUUUAGGUUUAGGGUUUAGUGAUUAGAGCUCAUACAAAGGGCUCUUGUUAUGAUCUACGAGUUCCACCUGUAGCUUCAGAGUCUAAUCUCACAAUUCAAUGUUAUUUUCUUAAAAACAUUGCUAUUUGCUUUUCAAUUUUUAUAACCAAUUUCUAAUUUUCUCUAUUAAACUUUGUUCGAACAUCAUGCAUUUCUUCUCGUGCUCUUAUUUGUUUUACAUGGGCUCACACAUCUUCUACUAUAAUACAUUUCCUUAAUGCUUUAUACCCGGUUAUUAUUCUGUAUAUAACCAUAUAUAUAUAACCUUGCGGGUUCAGCGUUUCAUAUUUCAUUUUUUCGGAUACUAUGCAUGGAAACCGGUCAGAACCAUUCUCAAUAUUUGUAUGUGGGCCCUAAAUUAGAUGUAAGUUACAUAAUGUAAUUUUUCAGGCAUCUAAAUAACAACUUCAUACACGCUCUUCAUUUCACAGCCUACAUGGAUGACGAUUAUUCUCAUGUUUUAUUCUAUCUGAUAUUACAACCGGUUAUCCACUCGAUUUACCAAUUUGGGCUUUUGAAAUCCGGUUUUGAUCUUUCUUAUGAUUGACAGUUGUCGCUUACGCUGAACUUUUAAUAACAGUUCAGUAGAUGUAUUUUUUUCAACACCCACAAUUCAACUGUUGGCUGACACAUAUAUCCACUCCUUUUUUACUUUCAUAACAUUAGCCCUGUUCUUUUCAUAGCCGCUGCGGCCGGUUAGCGACAAAAAAUAACAUUUAGGUGGAGACAAGAUGAUCGAUUUUGAAAGUGAAUUAAACUACCGGAACUUGCCGCAGCGACUAAAAAUGAAGACGCUGCCAUCGCUGAUAUUUCCAGCGUCUAAUUUUGUUAUUGCGUCUAACCGCGUGGCUGAAAAAGUAUGCUUGUCUUGUGUUAACGGCGCUGCAUUUCCGAUGGCGAGGAUGUACUUUUCAGUUACUGACGCUGGUCCCCAGCGUUCGUAAAAAGAACAAUAUCUGCUCUUCUAAACACAUCAAAAGCUUCUCUCACACGCUUAACAUUUCACAAACAUAAGGAGUCGUAGGAGUGUCAGAGGUCACUGAGGGCAAAGUUUUCAUUGAUCGCAUGACCAUCUACCGAUUCACAAAUUAUUAAAAAAUUUACACACUUACCUAAUUUCCUCUCACAAUUUGUAUAUUGGCCUCAUUGACCCUUCAUUUUAUUUGUAUUUUAAAUUUUGUAUCUACGAAUGAAAUGGUUAAAUUUGAAUCCAAGUGGGCUUCUGACACAUGGCCCACUUGUAAAUUUGUAUCUACGAAUGAAAUGAAAUGGUUAAAUUUGUAUAUACGAAUGAAACGAAAUUUUGUUCUUUUGUAUCUACAAAUGAAAUGAAAUGGUUAAAUUUGAAUCCAAGUGGGCUUCUGAUGCAUGGCACUAGACAUUAGAAAGGUUUUAGACUUAUCCCCUAUAUAUUAAGCAUGGAACAUUGUUUUCUUAACCACGUAUCAUUACUAAGAUGAUUCUUAGAAUCAUUGAAAAUAUAUAUUUAUAUUGACCAAUUUAUUUUUAUUAAACUAACUAUCAAAUUGAUUAUUGGGACAUUUGGUAAAACCAAUCCAAAUAUUCAAGUCAAACCUAAAAGUGUACCCCACUUUCAGUCAAAUGCAAAACCAACCUAGAGGGAUAGUAAAAGUACUAUUUAACCCUUAUGACCAAACAAAAAAACAUAAAUGUAUUUUACGUUUCUAUCCUUCGUAAGUCUACAUGUAAUAAA